AGCGUACACGGUGGAUGCCCUGGCAGUCAGAGGCGAUGAAGGACGUGCUAAUCUGCGAUAAGCGUCGGUAAGGUGAUAUGAACCGUUAUAACCGGCGAUUUCCGAAUGGGGAAACCCAGUGUGAUUCGUCACACUAUCAUUAACUGAAUCCAUAGGUUAAUGAGGCGAACCGGGGGAACUGAAACAUCUAAGUACCCCGAGGAAAAGAAAUCAACCGAGAUUCCCCCAGUAGCGGCGAGCGAACGGGGAGCAGCCCAGAGCCUGAAUCAGUGUGUGUGUUAGUGGAAGCGUCUGGAAAGGCGCGCGAUACAGGGUGACAGCCCCGUACACAAAAAUGCACAUACUGUGAGCUCGAUGAGUAGGGCGGGACACGUGGUAUCCUGUCUGAAUAUGGGGGGACCAUCCUCCAAGGCUAAAUACUCCUGACUGACCGAUAGUGAACCAGUACCGUGAGGGAAAGGCGAAAAGAACCCCGGCGAGGGGAGUGAAAAAGAACCUGAAACCGUGUACGUACAAGCAGUGGGAGCACAGAGCAAUCUGUGUGACUGCGUACCUUUUGUAUAAUGGGUCAGCGACUUAUAUUCUGUAGCAAGGUUAACCGAAUAGGGGAGCCGAAGGGAAACCGAGUCUUAACUGGGCGUUAAGUUGCAGGGUAUAGACCCGAAACCCGGUGAUCUAGCCAUGGGCAGGUUGAAGGUUGGGUAACACUAACUGGAGGACCGAACCGACUAAUGUUGAAAAAUUAGCGGAUGACUUGUGGCUGGGGGUGAAAGGCCAAUCAAACCGGGAGAUAGCUGGUUCUCCCCGAAAGCUAUUUAGGUAGCGCCUCGUGAAUUCAUCUCCGGGGGUAGAGCACUGUUUCGGCAAGGGGGUCAUCCCGACUUACCAACCCGAUGCAAACUGCGAAUACCGGAGAAUGUUAUCACGGGAGACACACGGCGGGUGCUAACGUCCGUCGUGAAGAGGGAAACAACCCAGACCGCCAGCUAAGGUCCCAAAGUCAUGGUUAAGUGGGAAACGAUGUGGGAAGGCCCAGACAGCCAGGAUGUUGGCUUAGAAGCAGCCAUCAUUUAAAGAAAGCGUAAUAGCUCACUGGUCGAGUCGGCCUGCGCGGAAGAUGUAACGGGGCUAAACCAUGCACCGAAGCUGCGGCAGCGACGCUGAUGCGUUGUUGGGUAGGGGAGCGUUCUGUAAGCCUGCGAAGGUGUGCUGUGAGGCAUGCUGGAGGUAUCAGAAGUGCGAAUGCUGACAUAAGUAACGAUAAAGCGGGUGAAAAGCCCGCUCGCCGGAAGACCAAGGGUUCCUGUCCAACGUUAAUCGGGGCAGGGUGAGUCGACCCCUAAGGCGAGGCCGAAAGGCGUAGUCGAUGGGAAACAGGUUAAUAUUCCUGUACUUGGUGUUACUGCGAAGGGGGGACGGAGAAGGCUAUGUUGGCCGGGCGACGGUUGUCCCGGUUUAAGCGUGUAGGCUGGUUUUCCAGGCAAAUCCGGAAAAUCAAGGCUGAGGCGUGAUGACGAGGCACUACGGUGCUGAAGCAACAAAUGCCCUGCUUCCAGGAAAAGCCUCUAAGCAUCAGGUAACAUCAAAUCGUACCCCAAACCGACACAGGUGGUCAGGUAGAGAAUACCAAGGCGCUUGAGAGAACUCGGGUGAAGGAACUAGGCAAAAUGGUGCCGUAACUUCGGGAGAAGGCACGCUGAUAUGUAGGUGAAGUCCCUCGCGGAUGGAGCUGAAAUCAGUCGAAGAUACCAGCUGGCUGCAACUGUUUAUUAAAAACACAGCACUGUGCAAACACGAAAGUGGACGUAUACGGUGUGACGCCUGCCCGGUGCCGGAAGGUUAAUUGAUGGGGUUAGCGCAAGCGAAGCUCUUGAUCGAAGCCCCGGUAAACGGCGGCCGUAACUAUAACGGUCCUAAGGUAGCGAAAUUCCUUGUCGGGUAAGUUCCGACCUGCACGAAUGGCGUAAUGAUGGCCAGGCUGUCUCCACCCGAGACUCAGUGAAAUUGAACUCGCUGUGAAGAUGCAGUGUACCCGCGGCAAGACGGAAAGACCCCGUGAACCUUUACUAUAGCUUGACACUGAACAUUGAGCCUUGAUGUGUAGGAUAGGUGGGAGGCUUUGAAGUGUGGACGCCAGUCUGCAUGGAGCCGACCUUGAAAUACCACCCUUUAAUGUUUGAUGUUCUAACGU
rnacentral:rRNA from 1 species